UCUAAGUGAAUGUGAAUGUGUGUGUGUGUCUGUAUGUGUCUGUAAGUAAAUGUGUGUGUCUGUAAGUGUUUAUGUGUGUGUGUGUCUGUGAGUGAAUGUGUGUGUCGGUCAGUGAGUGUGUAUGUGUUGGUCAGUGAGUGUGUAUGUGUCGGUUAGUGGGGGCGUGCAUCUUUCAGUGAGUGUGUCAGUUUGUCAGUGAGAGUGUGCAUCUGUCAGUGUGUGCCCAAGUAAUGGUGUGUGUGUAUGUCAUUGUUUGUCAAUGUGUAUGAGAGUGUGUGUCUGUCAGUGAGUGUGCGUCUGUCAGUCAAAGUGCGGUCUUGACAGGAAUGGGUGGGGGAAAUAUUAACUCUGUUACAGGCAUGUACACACACACACUCAGUUAAAGGCAGUCACACAUACAGGCACAGGCACACACAAUGGCACAGCUACAGUGACACACAAUUAGAGUCACACACAGAGUCACAUACACAGACAGUCACAC